rnacentral:lncRNA from 1 species
GCAGCGCCAGCGGGAACUGCAGCGAACCCGAGCCGCCCAGCAGGCUGUAGCACAGUCCACAGAGUUCACUGAAGUGUAACUUCCUAAACUGCUGAGAACAUGACAGCUGUGACUCAAAGCCUGCCAAGACACAGAGCCAGCCUAUAUGUCCCGCAGCAGAUGAAGAGAUAAAGAAAUCUGAUGAAUGAAACCACGACAUUUUUCAGAAAUAUUGAUGGAGCAGCAGGUCAUCAUGAGUUGUGAAACAACUGGAAGAAUACAGGAUGUGGGA